CCUACGGGUGGCAGCAGUGAGGAAUAUUGGUCAAUGGCCGGAAGGCUGAACCAGCCAUGCCGCGUGAAGGUCAGUGCCCUUUGGGCGUUAAACCUCUUUUGUUCGGGAGCAAUACUGCUCACGUUUUGCCCUCCGAUAUUACCGUUCUGAUCAGGAUCGGCUCACCUCGUGCCAGCAGCCGCCGGCAUACCGGGGGUGCAAGGGUUAUCCUGAUUUAGUGGGUUUAAAGGUGGCGUAGGCGGUGAGGUAAGUCAGCGUGGAAAUGCCCCGGCUCAACGGGGGGAAGUGUCAUUGAUACUGCCGGGCUGGAGUGUGGAUGACGUGGGAGGAAUGUGUGGUGUAGCGGUGAAAUGCAUAGAUAUCACACAGAACACCGAGUGCGAAGGCAUCUCACGAAGCCGCGAUUGACGCUGAUGCACGAAAGCGUGGGUAUCAAACAGGAUUAGAUACCCCAGUAGUC
rnacentral:rRNA from 1 species